GAUGAACGCUGGCGGCGUGCCUAAUACAUGCAAGUCGAGCGAACGGACGAGAAGCUUGCUUCUCUGAUGUUAGCGGCGGACGGGUGAGUAACACGUGGAUAACCUACCUAUAAGACUGGGAUAACUUCGGGAAACCGGAGCUAAUACCGGAUAAUAUUUUGAACCGCAUGGUUCAAAAGUGAAAGACGGUCUUGCUGUCACUUAUAGAUGGAUCCGCGCUGCAUUAGCUAGUUGGUAAGGUAACGGCUUACCAAGGCAACGAUGCAUAGCCGACCUGAGAGGGUGAUCGGCCACACUGGAACUGAGACACGGUCCAGACUCCUACGGGAGGCAGCAGUAGGGAAGCUUCCGCAAUGGGCGAAAGCCUGACGGAGCAACGCCGCGUGAGUGAUGAAGGUCUUCGGACCGUAAAACUCUGUUAUUAGGGAAGAACAUAUGUGUAAGUAACUGUGCACAUCUUGACGGUACCUAAUCAGAAAGCCACGGCUAACUACGUG
rnacentral:rRNA from 1 species